rnacentral:tRNA from 1 species
GUCGGCAUAGUUUAAUUGGAGAAUUAUUGUUUGUCUAACAAUAGAUGGCUAUUGGCCUGUCGGUG